rnacentral:lncRNA from 1 species
CAGUGUUGACUCCAAGACUUAAACCCGAGACAGGAAAGUACUGGUGCAAGGUGGCUCAUAUUCCUCAUAUAGAAAUUGAUGACAAGAAAGUUGGGCAACCUUGGUAUAGAUAUUGAUGACCAAAAAGUGUUUGGGUCUGUGGACUAAAACACCAAAACUAGGCAAAAUAAUCAUGUUACUUCUGUACUCUACCCAACUUUGCAGAUUAAUAUUCGUUUCACUUUUUAACUAUAGCUCUACUAUUUUUAGCACAAAAGAGACCAAUGGUUUAAAUUUAUCACUUACUAUGUAUCUAACAUUUUCUGCAUAUUCCAUGAUAAGAUUGCUUGUGUGUCAUACAUAUGAUGUUAUGUGUUCAUUAUGUACUUUGUUAGCACUAGCGGUCUGCAAAGGCAGAAGUAAUAGAAAAUAACGAGUAGAUGUGUAAUUUGUUCAAAACUACAGUACCUUGAAAACUCAAUUUCAACAGCAAGCAAAAUCAAAUGAAGGCAAGCCACCAAAUUUAUUCAUCUAUGUAUCUAUAGCAAGCAAAGUAUAACGAAUCAUUAAUCAUUACCUUAACUUUGUUUGAUACGGGAUUCUUUUUUCGCUCUCAAUUUUAUCACAGCGAUUCCGGGUGAAGUUGCGGAAUUAAAAAUUGAACGGUGGAGAAGCUUCUAACAGCGACACUGACGCGAUGAAGAGCGAAUCCGACGCGGUGAUUAACAAGGGUGGUGCAACUCCGGCGCGGUUAAGAGCAUAUUCCGACGCGGUGGUCAACGAUGAUGCAUUUACUUUAGAGGGUCGAAAUGAAGGCAAAAGAAGAAAAGGGAUUUUGUGUGUUUUUGAAGAAGAUGAGGAAUGUAGAGAAAGAAGGGUUAGGUCAGAGCCAUUGUUUCCAAUAAGAUGGAUAUGCAACACUUUAUUGGAAAUCGAUAACAUUAAUUAUUUGUCAUUUACAAUGCACAGUAAACUUGAAUUUGAAUUGUGAUUUGUGCUAGCCAGCAGCAAGAUCAGAUCUAUGGGUGAUAAAUAAGUGGCGCCCAAAGGUGUAGAUCCAAGUAUUUUUAGAUUAGAUAACCCAAACAAAAUGUAUUUUUAGAAGAAAAAGAUAUGACGUGUGAGAAAAGCAAGAAUCCUUAAAAUUUUAUCAAGUAAUUGGGCCUUCUUUUAAAAAUCAGAUUUUUAAUAACAAAAAGCCCAACCCCUUCUAUGCUGUCCUUCUAUGCUGUCCGUCGAACCUAGAGACGAGGGUAAAGAAGGGAACGAAAAUUCAAGGAUGGAAGCUUUGUGGGGCUAAAAUCGAUAAAUCACAUGUCAGUUUGAAGGAUAGCACUGAAUCGGGGUGGAAAUUUCUGAACGCACCUUUGAAGGUUCUGAACGCGGUAACCAAACACGAAGCACGCGGUGAUAUUGUGAUCUCCAAGAAGAAGAGGGUGAGUUUGCCUUAAUCUCCGAAGUUUCAGAUUUUAUUUUUGUUUGUAUUUUGAAGUUUCUCGUUUUUGCCCUUUGCUUGGUCUGUUUUUCUGUAUAUCUUCUCUCCAGGCAAUGGCAACACCACCAACUACACACGUUGAUGAUGAUGAUGCUGGAUCGCAUGGAGAAGUAGCGUGAGUAUUUUAUUUUCUUUUUCUUGUCAAUAGUUGGCUAAAUAGCGUGGGUAACAAAUUGUGAUUAAUUAUUUGUUGAACUCAAUAGAAUCUUUUUUUAUUCGAUAGAAGAUCAAAUUGAAUCAUGUGUAUUACUUAAUCAUAUAGAUUAUCUAGAAUUUUAAUAUCCAAUUAAGUUACUGACUUAAUCAUAAUGGUAUAACCUAAUUACGUAUGGAUUGGAUUGGUUAUUCUUUGAAAUUCAGAGGUAUAACAUAAUCAGAUGGAUCAUUGAAUUUCAUUAUUAUGUUUUCUAAGCCAAUUCUAGGAGUUGAAAACAUACCCAGAUUCGUAGGAGAUAAAGGCUUACAACAUGUUUUCAACGGUACACCGAUUAUUUGAGAAUUGAAAUUUUUGUGUUGGUGUUGAAUUAUUUAGGAAGAAGGUGCUGGGUUGAUUAUGAAUAAAAUAACCUUUCGGUAGGGAUUACCAACAAUAAUUAAUCACAAUCAUUAAUUAAUAUUAGAUUCAAGGGUCAUGAUUUGGAGUAACUCUUUCUACUUACUCUUAGAGUCAAUGGAUCCCUCCUCAUAUAUAUGAGCACAGGGAGUCAUUUCCUUUUUCUUUGUGUAAAGAAAAAAGAUGGUAGACUAAUUGAUAUUUCUAUAUAUGCGUGCACUGGAAUGCUGGCACUGGAAAGGAAUUGGACUAUAUGAUGGUGGGACAUUCCCCCAUCCACGCCGGUCCAUCCACACUUCUACUGGGUGUGAUAUUUUGCUAUAUCGGAACAGGGAAAGAUACUGGACGGAGUUGUGCUUUUCCCACCUUGGCCAGGAAGAGAUGUGAGACGAGGUUCUUCAACCAUUACUUUUCUUCAACUUUGAAUUCCGUUCUGUCAGUGUCAAGAUCAGGUGGUAGCUUAUUUGCUGUUGCUGGUGCUACUGGAGGAUCUGGGUCUCGCUUACGAACAUCAGAAUCUCACUAUCGAUCCCAAACAUAAAAAUAUAGAUCACUAGCAUCCGGCUCUUCCUAACGAUCACGAAAGACAAGCACUAGGAUCCCUACUUGAAGUUAAUUCUGGAUCUUACUCCAGAUAACGAAGAUCAUAAUCUCUAUUACGAGCAUCCGUAACUGCAUAGCAUCAGAAUCUCACUAUCAAUCUGUAGUUGGCCAGCAGCAUAGGCUAGGAACCAUAGAACAUGCCACAGUGCAUGCCAUAGCGAUGAUGACCACCAUAGACCAUAGUAGUGGAUAGGUAUAUUAGUGUUAGCCACCUAUAUAUAUAUAUAUAUAUAUAUAUAUAUGACAUGCUAUGGAUUCAUGCAGAUAUAUAUAUUUGGCAUGAAUUCUAGAGAAAGUUUUUGUAAUUUCUACAUGCAUGUUGUGGCUUUGUUUAUAUUGGUGGCAAAAAUUAUGCAUGUUGUGGUUUUAAAGUUUUUUAUUCAUUUAUUAAAAAAAAAGUUUUUUUAUUCGUUAUACCAAAUGUACUUGUUCUGUAGUAUCCUAUAGUAUCAAACACUUCCCUUUUUAUAGUUUGUGCACGAAAUAAUAUCUUAAGUGGUUUGUUUAUCAGUACUUGUUCUGCAUUAUCUUAUAGUAUUAAACACUCCCCUUUUCAUAGUUUGUACACGAAGUAAUAUCUUAAGUGGUUUGUUUAUCGGUUGUGUCGGUGUACUUGUUAUGUAUUAUCUUACUUGCAAGUGUCCACAUCUGCUUAUGUUUCACAAUUCCUAAAAAUGCCAUCGUUUUAUAUAUCGACUCUAAACAGAGGCAAUGAGACACAGGGAAGGGUCGAUGCGUUGUCAGUGGAGGCAAGACUGGAUGCUGGUUCUGCCAAUUCAGACCAAAAGGUUUUUUUUUUAUCUUUCUUUAUUUGAUUUUGUUCUAAUGAAAGCUUAUUUGAUUUUGUUCUCUAAUGAAAACUCAUUACCUUUUUUCUAGUUAACUUUGACCUUGUAAUAUUGUGAUUAGGGUGCAAAUAAUAUUGCAAAACGUUCUCAAGAAAGGAUAGGAAGUGCAUUCACACGAAACAGUUUACCUCAAGAUUUUGAUGAUCAAGAGAUAUUGUAUGAAACUUGCACUGUUUCUAAUGCAUCACAAUUAUUGGUUUUGGCACCCAAGUUGCAGAGCCUAAGAAUUAAGGACUGCGAAUCAUUGGAUGUCCUCCCAGAUGGUUUGCUAGAUGGAUCAACCAGUCUUAAAGAAUUGAAAUUGAUGAAUUGUUCUGAUCUAAGGUCCAUCCCUUACCCUCCAUCCCUGACUGAACUUUACAUAAGCAAGUGUAGAAAUUUUGAAUUACUCCGAUCGUCAAAAUCAAGAGAGAAUCUUUCCUUUAUUCACAGAUUGUCCAUUGGGAAUAGUUGUGAUUCUCUCACUACCUUGACCUUAGAUUUGUUCCCUAAACUCAAGAUUCUUUUUAUAUGGAACUGUCCCAAUCUAGUAUCUUUUGAUGUUACAGGGGUGCAUAAGGGUGAUUUUCCAUUGGAAUGUUUUGAAAUAAGAGAUUGCCCUGGAUUGACGUCUUUCCCAGAUGAAGGAUUUCAUACACCAAACCUACGUGCCUUCACCCUUUCCAAUUGCAAGAAUCUUAAAAAAUUCCCCAAUUUUAUUGCCUCUCUCACAUCUCUCCUCACAUUAUUUGUACUUAGAUGUCCACAUAUUGAAUGUUUUCCACAUGGUGGUUUGCCUUCAAGCUUAAUUCUAAUCUCUAUUGCAUAUUGUGACAAGCUUACAUCACAAAAGGAAUGGGGAUUGGAAAAUCUAAAAUCUCUGACUACAUUUAAUAUUGAAGGUGGAUGUAUAGGUCUGGAGUCAUUUCCAGAGGAAAAUCUUCUUCCCAGAAACAUUAUCUCUCUACACAUCAGCAAUUUAAAGAGUCUCAAGAAGCUGGACGACAAGGGCUUUCAACAACUUAAUGCUCUUUGCACACUUAAAAUUGAUCGUUGCGACGUUCUGCAGUACUUGCCUGAACAGGGGCUUCCUUCCUCCCUAAAUCAGCUCAAUAUCAGGGAUUGCCCAGUGUUGACUCCAAGACUUAAACCCGAGACAGGAAAGUACUGGUGCAAGGUGGCUCAUAUUCCUCAUAUAGAAAUUGAUGACAAGAAAGUUGGGCAACCUUGGUAUAGAUAUUGAUGACCAAAAAGUGUUUGGGUCUGUGGACUAAAACACCAAAACUAGGCAAAAUAAUCAUGUUACUUCUGUACUCUACCCAACUU